rnacentral:pre_miRNA from 1 species
GCCACCAACGGGGACAUAGUCAUACAGAAAAUAUUGUGUUAAAUCGCAAAUGUUAACUGUAAGACUGUGUCUCUAUUGAUGUU